rnacentral:misc_RNA from 1 species
AAGUCGUAACAAGGUUUCCGUAGGUGAACCUGCGGAAGGAUCAUUAAAAAAUAAUCCUUUGGAUUAUAAAUCCAUACCCACCUUUGUGCACUGUAACUUGUCCAUUGCUUUUCUUUCCGGAUUUUUUUCGUCAGCGAGGUCUCCUUGGGGCUUUGAUGCCGGGAUGGCCGGGGAGGAGAGCGAUAUAUCACAUACGUUUAUUUUUUACCGAGUCUGAAGUAUAACUUUUUGCGAAAGCAGAAAUUAUUAAAACAACUUUCAACAACGGAUCUCUUGGCUCCC